rnacentral:misc_RNA from 1 species
UGAAAUGCGAUACGUAAUGUGAAUUGCAUCACUUUGUGAAUCAUUAAAUCUUUGAACGCAACUGGCACUCUUUGGCUUGCUAAAGAGUAUACCUGUUUGAGAAUCAUAUACAUCAACUUGAUUCGAGAUCGAGUCAAAAUUGAGAUUUACAUUUUUCGUUCGAGAAAUGAAUCUUGAAUUACAUAGGAAUUCAGGCUUCGAUGUGACCGAAUAUACUGAACAUUGUGGGAUACGAAACUGCAGGAUAGAUAUUCUGUGGAUCGAAUUUCAUCAUCACAAUGAGUUCAUGUAUGAAUGGUGUGAUCGUUGCAAUUUUAAACUGAGUACCUCAUAAACUUUUUAUGUUAAGAGUUUCUCUUAACUCAAUAUUUGAUCUCAAAUCAGGCAAGACUACCCGCCG